ACUGCUGGUCACCAUCCCACAAGAAAAGGGACGGAGGGGGAGGGCAUUUUAUCACAGGAAAGCACAGCAAAUUUAUUUGGAAAGUUUCCUUUGGAAGGCAACCUGAUGCUGUUCAGAAGGCACAGAGCUCAGCCAAAGAUGCCUUACCUAGGUAAAGCGAGGCGUUCUCUUUCUUGACAUUGUCAUCCAGGCCGGCGAGUCCCACUGCUCCUUGGCGGUGCCAUUGCCGGUCACGCACAAGCCCUCGUUGCUGACGGAGGAGUUCAGCUCCUGGAUCUGGUACGGCGGGGAGAUGAAGUGAGGCUCCCGAUGUCGAAGCAGCUGACCAGCAGCCCCGACUCCGAGCUCUUCAGGCUGUAUCUCCGCUCGAUGGUGGUGAUGACGCUGCUCAGGUAGCCGGAGACCAUGAGGGACUGGAUGAAGGUCAGGAAGCACAUGCACACCAGGAAGAAGCGCGAGUCCGCCAACACUGCCCGGAGG